UUAAGUUAAUAAGGGCGCACGGUGGAUGCCUUGGCACUAGGAGCCGACGAAGGACGUGACAAACGACGAUAUGCCUUGGGUAGCUGUAAGUAAGCGAUGAUCCAGGGAUUUCCGAAUGGGGGAACCCAACAGGUAAUACCUGUUACCUACAUCUGUUAAGGAUGUGAGGAGGAAGACGCAGUGAACUGAAACAUCUAAGUAGCUGCAGGAAGAGAAAGCAAAAGCGAUUGCCUUAGUAGCGGCGAGCGAAACGGCAGAAGGGCAAACCGAAGAGUUUACUCUUCGGGGUUGUAGGACUGCAAUGUGGACUCAAAGAUUAUAGAAGAAUGAUUUGGGAAGAUCAGCCAAAGAGAGUAAUAGCCUCGUAUUUAAAAUAGUCUUUGUACUUAGCAGUAUCCUGAGUACGGCGGGACACGUGAAAUCCCGUCGGAAUCUGGGAGGACCAUCUCCCAACCCUAAAUACUCCCUAGUGACCGAUAGUGAACCAGUACCGUGAGGGAAAGGUGAAAAGCACCCCGGGAGGGGAGUGAAAUAGAACCUGAAACCGUGUGCCUACAACAAGUUCGAGCCCGUUAAUGGGUGAGAGCGUGCCUUUUGUAGAAUGAACCGGCGAGUUACGUUAUGAUGCGAGGUUAAGUUGAAGAGACGGAGCCGUAGGGAAACCGAGUCUGAAUAGGGCGCCUUAGUAUCAUGACGUAGACCCGAAACCAUGUGACCUACCCAUGAGCAGGUUGAAGGUGCGGUAAGACGCACUGGAGGACCGAACCAGGGCACGUUGAAAAGUGCUUGGAUGACUUGUGGGUAGCGGAGAAAUUCCAAACGAACUUGGAGAUAGCUGGUUCUCUCCGAAAUAGCUUUAGGGCUAGCGUCGACAUUAGAGAUUCUUGGAGGUAGAGCACUGUUUGGGUGAGGGGUCCAUCCCGGAUUACCAAUCUCAGAUAAACUCCGAAUGCCAAUGAAUUAUGGUCGGCAGUCAGACUGCGAGUGCUAAGAUCCGUAGUCGAAAGGGAAACAGCCCAGACCACCAGCUAAGGUCCCAAAAUAAUUGUUAAGUGGAAAAGGAUGUGGGGUUGCACAGACAACUAGGAUGUUAGCUUAGAAGCAGCUAUUCAUUCAAAGAGUGCGUAAUAGCUCACUAGUCGAGUGACCCUGCGCCGAAAAUGUACCGGGGCUAAAACAAUUUACCGAAGCUGUGGAUACCUUUAUAGGUAUGGUAGGAGAGCAUUCUAUGUGUGAUGAAGGUAUACCGUGAGGAGUGCUGGAACGCAUAGAAGUGAGAAUGCCGGUAUGAGUAGCGAAAGACAGGUGAGAAUCCUGUCCACCGUAAGACUAAGGUUUCCAGGGGAAGGCUCGUCCGCCCUGGGUUAGUCGGGACCUAAGGAGAGACCGAAAGGUGUAUCCGAUGGACAACAGGUUGAUAUUCCUGUACUAGAGUAUGUAGUGAUGGAGGGACGCAGUAGGCUAACUAAAGCAGACGAUUGGAAGAGUCUGUCUAAGCAGUGAGGUGUGAAUUGAGUCAAAUGCUUAAUUCUAUAACAUUGAGCUGUGAUGGGGAGCGAAGUUUAGUAGCGAAGUUAGUGACGUCACACUGCCAAGAAAAGCUUCUAGCGUUUAAACAUACUCUACCCGUACCGCAAACCGACACAGGUAGUCGAGGCGAGUAGCCUCAGGUGAGCGAGAGAACUCUCGUUAAGGAACUCGGCAAAAUGACCCCGUAACUUCGGGAGAAGGGGUGCUGACUUAAAGUCAGCCGCAGUGAAUAGGCCCAAGCAACUGUUUAUCAAAAACACAGCUCUCUGCUAAAUCGUAAGAUGAUGUAUAGGGGGUGACGCCUGCCCGGUGCUGGAAGGUUAAGAGGAGUGCUUAGCGUAAGCGAAGGUAUGAAUUGAAGCCCCAGUAAACGGCGGCCGUAACUAUAACGGUCCUAAGGUAGCGAAAUUCCUUGUCGGGUAAGUUCCGACCCGCACGAAAGGCGUAAUGAUUUGGGCACUGUCUCAACGAGAGACUCGGUGAAAUUUUAGUACCUGUGAAGAUGCAGGUUACCCGCGACAGGACGGAAAGACCCCAUGGAGCUUUACUGCAGUUUGAUAUUGAGUGUCUGUACCACAUGUACAGGAUAGGUAGGAGUCUAAGAGAUCGGGACGCCAGUUUCGAAGGAGACGCUGUUGGGAUACUACCCUUGUGUUAUGGCCACUCUAACCCAGAUAGGUGAUCCCUAUCGGAGACAGUGUCUGACGGGCAGUUUGACUGGGGCGGUCGCCUCCUAAAAGGUAACGGAGGCGCCCAAAGGUUCCCUCAGAAUGGUUGGAAAUCAUUCGCAGAGUGUAAAGGUAUAAGGGAGCUUGACUGCGAGAGCUACAACUCGAGCAGGGACGAAAGUCGGGCUUAGUGAUCCGGUGGUUCCGUAUGGAAGGGCCAUCGCUCAACGGAUAAAAGCUACCCUGGGGAUAACAGGCUUAUCUCCCCCAAGAGUUCACAUCGACGGGGAGGUUUGGCACCUCGAUGUCGGCUCGUCGCAUCCUGGGGCUGUAGUCGGUCCCAAGGGUUGGGCUGUUCGCCCAUUAAAGCGGCACGCGAGCUGGGUUCAGAACGUCGUGAGACAGUUCGGUCCCUAUCCGUCGCGGGCGUAGGAAAUUUGAGAGGAUCUGCUCCUAGUACGAGAGGACCAGAGUGGACUUACCGCUGGUGUACCAGUUGUCUUGCCAAAGGCAUCGCUGGGUAGCUAUGUAGGGAAGGGAUAAACGCUGAAAGCAUCUAAGUGUGAAACCCACCUCAAGAUGAGAUUUCCCAUGAUUAUAUAUCAGUAAGAGCCCUGAGAGAUGAUCAGGUAGAUAGGUUAGAAGUGGAAGUGUGGCGACACAUGUAGCGGACUAAUACUAAUAGCUCGAGGACUUAUCCAA
rnacentral:rRNA from 1 species